rnacentral:rRNA from 1 species
UGUCUAGUAUAAGCAAUUAUACCGUGAAACUGCGAAUGGCUCAUUAAAUCAGUUAUCGUUUAUUUGAUAGUACCUUACUACUUGGAUAACCGUGGUAAUUCUAGAGCUAAUACAUGCUGAAAACCCCAACUUCGGGAGGGGUGUAUUUAUUAGAUAAAAAACCAACGCCCUUCGGGGCUUCUUGGUGAUUCAUGAUAACUUUACGGAUCGCAUGGCCUUGCGCCGGCGACGGUUCAUUCAAAUUUCUGCCCUAUCAACUUUCGAUGGUAAGGUAUUGGCUUACCAUGGUUUCAACGGGUAACGGGGAAUUAGGGUUCGAUUCCGGAGAGGGAGCCUGAGAAACGGCUACCACAUCCAAGGAAGGCAGCAGGCGCGCAAAUUACCCAAUCCCGACACGGGGAGGUAGUGACAAUAAAUACUGAUACAGGGCUCUUUUGGGUCUUGUAAUUGGAAUGAGUACAAUUUAAACCUCUUAACGAGGAACAAUUGGAGGGCAAGUCUGGUGCCAGCAGCCGCGGUAAUUCCAGCUCCAAUAGCGUAUAUUAAAGUUGUUGCAGUUAAAAAGCUCGUAGUUGAACCUUGGGUCUGGCUGGCAGGUCCGCCUCACCGCGUGUACUUGUCCGGCCGGGCCUUCCUUCUGGAGAACCUCAUGCCCUUCACUGGGCGUGUUGGGGACCAGGACUUUUACUUUGAAAAAAUUAGAGUGUUCAAAGCAGGCCUUUGCUCGAAUACGUUAGCAUGGAAUAAUAGAAUAGGACGUGCGGUCCUAUUUUGUUGGUUUCUAGGACCGCCGUAAUGAUUAAUAGGGACAGUCGGGGGCAUCAGUAUUCAAUUGUCAGAGGUGAAAUUCUUGGAUUUAUUGAAGACUAACUACUGCGAAAGCAUUUGCCAAGGAUGUUUUCA